rnacentral:tRNA from 2 species
UAGCGCAGCUUGGUAGCGCAACUGGUUUGGGACCAGUGGGUCGGAGGUUCGAAUCCUCU